rnacentral:rRNA from 1 species
GAUGAACGCUGGCGGCGUGCCUAAUACCUGCAAGUCGAGCGAAUGGAUUAAGAGCUUGCUCUUAUGAAGUUAGCGGCGGACGGGUGAGUAACACGUGGGUAACCUGCCCAUAAGACUGGGAUAACUCCGGGAAACCGGGGCUAAUACCGGAUAACAUUUUGAACCGCAUGGUUCGAAAUUGAAAGGCGGCUUCGGCUGUCACUUAUGGAUGGACCCGCGUCGCAUUAGCUAGUUGGGGAGGUAACGGCUCACCAAGGCAACGCUGCGUAGCCGACCGGAGAGGGUGAUCGGCCACACUGGGACGGAGACACGGCCCAGACUCCUACGGGAGGCAGCAGUAGGGAAUCUUCCGCAAUGGACGAAAGUCUGACGGAGCAACGCCGCGUGAGUGAUGAAGGCUUUCGGGUCGUAAAACUCUGUUGUUAGGGAAGAACAAGUGCUAGUUGAAUAAGCUGGCACCUUGACGGUACCUAACCAGAAAGCCACGGCUAACUACGUGCCAGCCGCCGCAGUAA